CUGCUUCAGUCUCCCAAGUAGCUAGGAUUACAGAUGUUAACCACAUGCCUGGCUAGAAGAAAUAACUUUAAAAUGGGCUUUGAUGCAACAUAAACUGCAUCUUAGGAAAUAAUCAGAUCCUAAAAGUAGAAUAGUCUGGUUAAAUCUGUAAACCUUUUCAAUCCACUUCUUUUUUCUUUUCUUUUAAAUGAAAUGUUGGACAUGAAUAGAAAUGCUUGACAGAUAUUUUUAAUUUUCCAAGAUCCCUUGUUUUCAUAGUGCAAAGAUAUAUAAAUUAUGCAGGAUAAAAUAUAAAAAGCCUUUAAAACCAAUACUUGUUAACCACUUUGGAUAGAUUCUUAACAUCAACUCUAGUCUUACUGAGAUAUUCAUUUUUUUUCCUUUCAGUACUACUUAGCUUUUUUUUUAUUUUAUAGAAAUAUGGAGGGAUUAUGAAAAUAAAAUGAAAGGCUGGACUCUAUUAGAUUAGAGAUAGCUUUGGUCCAGCCCAAGCUGUGCCUUGAAAUAAAUCUAAGGUAUUUUACGGUUAAAACAGCAAGAAAGCAGUUUAAUUUCCCAUUAAAUCACAGUUUAAUGCACCCUAGAACAAAUGAAAUGAUUGAACAUUUUGGAUACAUGAUGAUGUUUAUAUUCAUAGUCCACAAAUACCAUGCGCAGAUGCCACUGACAAAUUCCAAAUAUGCAUUAAGGAGAGAAAGCGAGAGGAAAUGCUCAUGUAUGACACCUGCAGGUAAAACUUACUCAUUUGCAAAGACGGAAUGUAAACACACUUAUUCUGCAACAUACACCUACAAAAUGUUUGCAUAUUGGAACAAAGUAAGGAGAAAGGUAUAACUAGCAACAAAUAUGCAAAGAACUAGGACUGUAAAGCAAAGAAAAUACUUGAUUAUUUUUUGUCUUAUCAUCAAAUGUAUAUAUGUGUCAUCUCUCCCCUUUCCCUAUAUCUACCAGAUGUAUAAAGAGUGAAUAACUUAAAUUAUUCAUAUCAACAGUCAACCAUGUAGGACAAUUAACAAUAAAUACCAAGGUACAGCAUCAUAGAGUUGAAAACUCAGUUGCUUUGGGAACGGACAUGGCAUUAUGUUGUAGAUGUGCUACUUUCUAUUAAUAGAACUCCUAUUUCUUUUUUUAAAGAGGAAUAAUGCUUAAAGAAUUGUUAUGAUGAAAACAUUAAAUAGCAACUAGAACCAACUAUAUAUCAACUAGAGACUGACUGGUGUACAUUAUUUUCUCAAUAAAUAUCAAUAUCCUUUUCUUCAAUUAGAUUAUUCUAUGAAUAAUAUGCAAAAUUCCUCCCCUUUUGAGACAAUACACACUAAAAUGCUGACACAUUUUUCUCCUCUCAGGGUAAUUUAUUUCUGAAAACCUAUGAGAAAUUACUGGAAUUUAAAAACAUAAUUACCUUUGAGAUUAAUGGUACGUAAUUACUUCAAUAGUUAACAAAACACGUGUGAAAUACUUAAUGCUCAUGUUAUUAAAAUGUAUUAACAAAACAAGAAAAAACAGUGAAGAAGAAAUAAAAUACAAUGCAAGUAAUGCACUUACAUUGCUAUUAUAAACUAGCCAAUAAAUAGUAUUUGGUAAGAAAAUUUAAAUCACAAUAUACAUGUAUACACCAAGUUUACUUUUCUUUCUCUAUACUUGGUUGUUUACAAGAUGUAUAAAACCCAGAUUGGUCUUCUAAAUGCUAAUGCCCUGUUAAAUCAAAAUAGGUAUAUGAAAUUAAACUCUUUUUUCAAGUUGGACUUAUCUUGGAGCUUUACCACAUAAGUAUUUGCUAACUCUUUUUCUUAAUAUAUUUUUCUUUGUUUAUGGAGAACCAAAAAUAUAAGUUAUCUUGAGAUGUACAUUCUUGUCCAAGCACUGCAAGAUGUCCACAAUAUCCCAAGGAACACAGUUGUCACAAUUUGCCUUCAUUAACCCUUGACUUAGGACUGGCAAGUUUUUAUUAUCCCCCCAAGGAAGAGUGGAAAGUGACACGGAAGGCAAUUAUAAUAAUGAGUAUCAUACAUAAGAGAAAGUUACUUACUUAACUGUAUUCAGUGUUUCUUUGGCUCUUGAAACAAUCUGAUAAUUAUUGAUGGUAAUAAGCAACUUGUUAACUGUAUAACUAUGCUCACUAUUUAUAAUAAGGUAAGAGUAUGUUGGCUUCUAGGCAGAGGUUCUUGAAGGCUCUUCUUCAUAUUUUUUUUUUAAUGAGCAUACCACAGCCUAGAAAACAUAAUAGUGGCCUAAAAUCACAGAAGCUACUUAGAGAUGGGACUGAAACUAUGACUUUGUUCUUUUGCCCUGUUUACUGCAAUGACUAAGUCACUAAAUUAAUUGAAUGAGGAACAGAGUACCAUAUGAAAGUCGCUCAAGCUAAUGUGUACCAUAAUGUUAACAACUAGCAAACAUUUACAGGGAUUGUUUUACCCUCUCUCCAGCAGCAAGCUAACUAAAUAAGAAUAUUACACAUUUGAUACAAGCUCCCUCCACGGGUUUCAGUUUCUUUAUCUAAAAAUUGGCUCUCCAGAUUUGUUUCAAGAUAAUGUGACACUAGCACUGUGCCUGCCAGUGCUUGUGUAGUUGUGUAUUCUGAGCUGUGUAUUAUGCCACAGUAGUUGUGUAUUUUGAGCUAGCUCUUCUCAUUCCCCGUCUACAUUAUAGGUAUGAAAUCAGAACCCAGUAAAUGAAUGGAUUUUUAUUAUUUAAGAUGCUGUUGUAAAAUAUGUAGAUAAUCAGAUGUUACUCCAAUAAUUAUGUGGUUACUUUUCUGGAAGUAGAAAUAAAUUUUAUCUGUUAUAUGCCAUUUAGGAGGAUAAAUGGGGGCCAAGAAAAACAAUAAGAUAACAGGUCCAUAUGGAGAAUUUAAUCUGCAACCUUGAUCAUACCAGAAAAAUGUUGUAAUAUAUUUAGCCAUGGGACACAAGAAGACAUGUUAAAAACAUUCCCUGACUUUAUUUUAAAGGAUGAUUUUGAAGCUGGGUAUAUAUUAAAUGAACUUGGACAUCUUCAUUACCCAAUAACUGUAUUUUUAUUCUAGUUGUUUAAUUUUGUAAGUGAAACUCUCUUGCAAUAUUGAAUGAUGAGUUAGGAUGAACAAAAACAACAUGACAGCUAAAGUGCAACCUUUUAAACCUCCUUUGGGAAAAAAAAGAUGACUUGUGGAUGAAAAUCUUUCUAAGUCAGUUAUUUACUCUGCUUGUUUUCUUAAAACUGAUCAAACUAUGGAACUUAAAAUAACACUUCCGUGAUGACCUACGACCAUCAUCAGGAGUACUAAUUGUAGUACCAUAGCAACUUCAGUGAUUACAGAAGUUUGUAGAUCUGUUUACCUUUAUUAAAUAGCUUAGUUCCUGUGAUUUUUGAGUUUCUUUGUACGCUUUUUACAGAUUUUCUUCCAUUUUCUUGCUGACACAUUUAACUGCUAUCAUUGUGCAAGUCUUCGCAGCUGCUUCCCCUUCUUAAUUUGCUGCUUCCUUACAGGCAGUGGGUUUGGUAACCAAAUAACAAACUUGUUAAAAUUGUCAGUAAAAUAAGAUUUUGUCAGGUCUAAGAGAACACUCAUAAGAGAAAAAUGCAUUUGCUUAGUUGCAUGGGCUCUGUGGUUGCAACUUUGAUUCUGCCUCGAGUUUUGUUGUUUAAAUCCUGCUUCUCAGCUCUGUCAAGAGUGAUGAGGUUGUCAUAGGGCUAAAUCCUGGGAGGUAGGAUAUUGCCGUUUAUUGAGUAGACAAACUACCAUAUCUACUUUGGGUAUGUUAUGGAAACAAAUUAGGUCAUGUCUGCAAGAGUUAGGGUGCACAUCUGGAGAAACGCAAUAAGGUUAUUCAAAGUUAAACAAUAUUAUUCAAAUAAAUAAUAUUCUUUGAAAUUUAAGAAGUCACUAAAUUGCACAAGUUCUUGGACUUGAAAGGUAUUGCCGUUUUUCAUGUUAUCCUGACCUCAUCAAAAUGUCUGUUUUGAAAUGUAAUAGCUUAUUCAUCACGACCUAUCCUGUUUGGAAACGCAGAAAAAACAUGGUUAUUUUUACUUGAUUCCAUCCAGGCAGGAAAGUACCCUACCACUUCACAGCCUAAAACAAACAAUUAUUGGUGAUGGUCUCAUUAUAAAUUGCUUUUCACUGGCAUAAUGAGUCCUUUUUUCUUUUUUAAAAAGAGACUUAGAUAACAUGAAACAUAUGAACCAAAUUGUGUUUGCCUGACAUAAGCUGAAUUUAAAACUCUUGCUGAGAUUACCACACUUUUAAUACUUUCACCUAUUCCUUUGUGACACAAAGGCUGAAUUUUAAAAACUUUUGUACAGCAAAAGCAAUUUAUACAUAUAAAAAUACUUGGAGUGCCCUAGGGGUUGUCAUUGUAGCAGAGAGACGGAAGAGAGUUUGAUUUUAAGUUUAGGCUUCAAACAUUUAUGGCCUAAAUGGGGAUGUCAUUCUGAAUUAAGCCUCGAACAGUUUUUUUUUAUAGGCAAGCAAGGGUAUCAUUUCUAAGAUGAGCUAUAAAAGAGUGAAACAAGGCCCCAGUUCCUUGCACUCAUCAGAAAGCUUUUUCUCCCCAAAAGUGCAGGGAUUAAACUGACAAUCUCUGUCUCCUCCCAAUUUGGGCACUUGUCUUCCUCUUCCACGAAUCCCCUAACAGUUUCAAUCAGAGGAGAUAUUUCAUAUUUCCCUCCUGCUGCUACCAGAUAUGCCGGGCUGCUGAUGUAAAAUCAUUGCCACAUGACAGUGACUGCUCGUGUCCCAACUCAUCAGUCAAGGACACCAACCCAGCCUUACAGAAGGCCUUUCCUUUGCUCAUGUGUCUCUUGUCUCUCCCUUCACAGCCUGUCCUGACACAAACAUAUCUUUUUAAAAGGUCUUUGACAGUUUUUUCUCUUUCCUUACCUCCUUGGUUGUGUUUGAAGCCCGAGCCAUGGUAAAUAGCCUAUGGCUUGACUCAUCUCUUUCUACCUCUGCCCUCCUAACUGUAAUUACGAGAUAAUUUAGCGGUGAUGCUCUGAAGCCAAGGCGAUUGGUGAAUUAACCUGAGGCAGCUCUAAGAAGUACUCUGUAGUAUCUGCUGAUGCACUUUGUCCAUUUUUGCUUCCCUCUCUCAUACUUCCUAAUUACUUCAAAGCUUCAUAUAGCUUCCUGCAUUCCCCAUGUCUCUAAAAACAGCGUUCUACCCAGGCUUCUCUCAUUAGGAAAGAUCCAAACGCCUUAAAAUAUCUCCAUCUAUCAAAGACUUGGUUUUAGUUCCGGGUUGUUUUUUGUUUUUUCAGGCCUCUGAUCUGGACCAAGUGCUGACCAGGCCACAAGAAAAAACAAAUCAGUUAAAAUGUUAAAAGAGCAAAUAUGUGUUUGUGUCCCCUCUCCCAGGUGAUACAGUUGUGCUUAUAGCAGAGGCCAACGAGAAACAUAUUUUAAUGGAAGCUUUGCUCAGGGAGAAAACUGUAAGGUCACUGAAGACAAUUGCAGAUGGAGGUGUGUUUGUAUGUGUUCAUACGUGCUUAUGAACGGGGUAGUUGAUAUGAAACAAUUUGGGGAGACAGACCUAAAUUUAGCUCUCAAUUUAUACCACACAAAUGUCUAUAGGCUUUAAUUGUAAAUGUGGACCAUGAUUUUAUAUGAAUGAUUAAGCCCAUAAAAAUGACUAUAUAGUUUAUAUUUUCCUUCUGGGAAUUUUUCUAUAGGAACAUUUGGGACACAGUCACCAGCUGUUAUUUAGCCAGCUCUACACCAGUCCCAGUGUUGACAGGGAAAAAAGGUGUUUGAAUUUAAAUACAUGGUCCAAAAUCUUCUAGUGACCCAAUUGUUUAGAACCUACGUAGGCUUAUGAAAAUUCUGACUGGUAAAUCACAUGACCUGGAAUUCCAUCCCUCAGUAAUAAUUCAGUCACAACUUUCUCAACUUUCUCCGGAAAGACUUCUUUGAUGCCCCACUACUCCCCUCAACCCCACACCCUGAUCCUCUGCAACAACAUUGAAUGUGUUGCUUUCUCUUUCUCCCAACCACUCAUUCACUCACCUGUUCCAUCCUUAUUGUUUAUGUGGCUUUCUGCAUUUCACCUGCAAAUUUCCCAAGGGCAGGGACUUGUCUUAGCAUGUUCAGGCUGCUAUAACAAAGUACUAUCAACUGGAGAGCUUAUAAACAACAGAAAUUUAUUUUUCACAGAUCUGAAGACUGGGAAGUCCAAGAUCAAGGUGCCAACAGAUUUGAUGCCUGGUAAGGACCUGCAUUUUGGUUUCGUAGAUGGCACUGUCUUGCUGUGUCUUCACUUGGUAUAAGGGGUUAGCUCUGGGUUCUUUUAUGAGGGCACUAAUUCCAUUCAUGAAGGCUCCACCCUUAUGACUUUAUUAUCUCCCAAUGGCCCCAUAUUAUAACGGUAUCAUCUUGGUGAUUAGGUUUCAGUAAUUGAAGUUGUGGGACAUAAACAUUCCGAAAAUAGCCAGACUCUAAUUUAUCUUAAAGGAUCGUCAGAUACAGAAUAUAUGAAAGCAUAUGUCUACAUAUCUUGUGAUUUAGGACUUUCCUGGUGUGAAUUGUGGAGAGAAGACUCAUUACAAAUCAGGUAAGAGAUACCACACUUUUCAUGGCAUCUUGUGAAAUUCCUUUACUCUCCCCAUGGAGGCCCAUUUUUGAGAAUCUAUUCUAGGUUUCACUCACAUAAUUAGCAACUGUUGUUAUAAACAGAAAGAAUGUUUGGUACUCUGUAGCACAUUCAAACAUUGAAGGAAAUACUUUUUAAUUAAAACAACUUGUCUGGUGGGCAAGGUCAUUUUAUUUUCAAAAUGUAUAGGAAAACCCUUUAACUCCUAGUAAUACAGUCUCCCUUAUUCCUAUAAAUGGAAAGUUAGUAGUAUGUAGAAAUGUUACAACAUCAAUUCAGGGCAAGUUUUCUGAAGUUAACUUCUGCCAAAAUUUGGGAAAUAAGAAAAUUUGGCUGUUGUACAAACAAAUUUCUAGAGAAGAGACAACAUAACAGGACUAGAUAAUGAUGAUUCUGUAAAUGGAUAAUUAGGGAUUACAGAGGAUGAAGAAUUUUUACAUUCCAGCGAAGGCAUGAACCUGUAACGGCUUUUACAAAAACAAACAAACAAAGCAUAGAAGAAACCUGGCCCCAUGGAAGAUAAACAGCUUCAGUGUAUUCCUACCAGGAAAACAUUUUGUUUCAUUGUUCGAAAGUACCCCCCUGACAUAUAUAUACGAAUGAGUGACACUCUUUAGUUGUUGUUAGCAAGAAAUGUGUUUAUUCUUCUAGUUUUUAUAUGUGUCACAAGUGAGAUAUACUGAAUACUUUUUCUUAAGAAAUAUUUUUGAUUUUCUUAAAUGUGGAAAUUGAAGAAAACAGUCACUUGGUGAGAGCAGCAGGAGGUAGCCAAAUGCCUAGGCAGACAACGAUGUGUCCCCAGUGAAACCCCACCUCCAAGCUGAUGACUUCAAAGCCUGUCAUCAGCUGUUAUUAGCCUAAAAGCCAAGCUACAAGUUAAAUCCUUGACCCAAAUUGACAACUCAUCUUCCUGUUUAGCACACUUUCCACUGAUUGAUUCCUAUCCUUCACCUAUUUUAUAUUUAUCUACCCUUUCCUAAUUUCUACACGGUCGUCCCUACCUUUGAGUGAUGUCUUCGAUUUAACCCUUUUUGUAUAAACCAAUCAGCAUGCACUCCCAUUCUGAGUCCAUAAGAGGAUGCAGACUUAGCCAGAUGGGGGACUUUCCAGCCAUUGAGUAGGGGACCCUCUGCCCCAUUUGCCUUCUUUGCUGAGAGCUUUCCUUUUGCUUAAUAAAUUCUACUCAACUCACUCUUUGGUGUGUAUGCACCUAAUUCAUCCUGGUGUUAAGAAAAGAACACAGACCUAGCUGAGCUAAGGAGCAGAAAGACCACAACACUGGGAAAACAAAAGGUGAAAGCAGGUUAAAAGACUCUGUAAACAAGCCAACAACCUCAUCUGGGAUUCAAGCAAAGGAACAGUAUUAUGCCCAAAAGAAAAUGGACUGCACUGAACUUGCUAAGAGAUAAUCUAACACACACAAAGCCAUGUAUACAGAAACUUACAAGAAAUUUACAAAAUUUUAAAAGAUACUUUUUAUGAUACAUAGUUUUUACAUUAAUCACUAAUUUUGGAA